AGUGAACGCUGGCGGUAGGCCUAACACAUGCAAGCCGAACGGCAGCGCAGUAAGAGCUUGCUCUUACGGGUGGCGAGUGGCGGACGGGUGAGGAAUACAUCGGAAUCUACUUUUUCGUGGGGGAUAACGUAGGGAAACUUACGCUAAUACCGCAUACGACCUACGGGUGAAAGCAGGGGAUCUUCGGACCUUGCGCGAUUGAAUGAGCCGAUGUCGGAUUAGCUAGUUGGCGGGGUAAAGGCCCACCAAGGCGACGAUCCGUAGCUGGUCUGAGAGGAUGAUCAGCCACACUGGAACUGAGACACGGUCCAGACUCCUACGGGAGGCAGCAGUGGGGAAUAUUGGACAAUGGGCGCAAGCCUGAUCCAGCCAUACCGCGUGGGUGAAGAAGGCCUUCGGGUUGUAAAGCCCUUUUGUUGGGAAAGAAAAGCAGCAGGUUAAUACCCCGCUGUUCUGACGGUACCCAAAGAAUAAGCACCGGCUAACUUCGUG
rnacentral:rRNA from 1 species